rnacentral:rRNA from 1 species
GACGUAGGGGCCAGCGUUGCUCGGAAUUACUGGGCGUAAAGGGUCCGUAGGCGGUGCGGUAAGUCGGGAGUGAAAUCUCUGGGCUUAACUCAGAGGCUGCUUCCGAAACUACCGUGCUAGAGUGCGAGAGAGGCAAGUGGAAUUGCGGGUGUAGCGGUGAAAUGCGUAGAUAUCCGCAGGAACAUCCGAGGCGAAAGCGGCUGCUGGAUCGCAACUGACGCUGAGGGACGAAAGCUAGGGAGCAAACAGG